UACGUAGGGUGCGAGCGUUGUCCGGAAUUAUUGGGCGUAAAGAGCUCGUAGGCGGUCCGUCACGUCGGCUGUGAAAACCUGGGGCUCAACCCCGGGCCUGCAGCCGAUACGGGCGGACUAGAAUUCGGUAGGGGAGACUGGAAUUCCCGGUGUAGUGGUGAAAUGCGUAGAGAUCGGGAGGAACACCUGUGGCGAAGGCGGCCCGCUGGACCACAACUGACGCUGAGGAACGAAAGCUAGGGGAGCAAACAGG
rnacentral:rRNA from 1 species